UUUCUUCCCUCUCCCCAAUUUUUCUCUCUCUACAAAACCCUCUCUUUCUCUCUCUUACAAAACCUUCUCUCUCUCUCUACUGCAAAACCCAUUUAAGGUUCGUUUUCCGAUUCCCAAUUUCUUUGUCUUUUCUUCCUUUUUCUUCUAUCUAUUUUUUUUACGUGUUUUCGCACACUGUUCAAAACUUUGGAGUUCAUUGUAGCUUGAUUAGGGUUCUUGGUGUUUUUAUUGUUACUCAAAUUGUUAAUGAAUUUAGUUUAACUGCAUUGAAAUUACGAAAUUGGGAUUUUUUUUUCUGA